rnacentral:rRNA from 1 species
CCCAUAAGCUGGAUAUCUCCGGAACUGGGCUUAUUACCGGAAUAACAUUUGAUCUCGCAUGUAUCGAAUUGAAAGCUGCUUCGCUGUCACUUAUGGAAUGGACCCGCGGUCGCCAUAGCUAGUUGGUGGAGGUAACGGCUCCACCCAAGGCAACGAUGCGUAGCCGACUGAGGAGGGGUGAUCGGCCACCACUGGGACUGAGACACGGCCCAGACUCCUACGGGAGGCAGCAGUAGGGAAUCUUCCGCAAUGGACGAAAGUCUGACGGAGCAACGCCGCGUGAGUGAUGAAGGCUUUCGGGUCGUAAAACUCUGUUGUUAGGGAAGAACAAGUGCUAGUUGAAUAAGCUGGCACCUUGACGGUACCUAACCAGAAAGCCACGGCUAACUACGUGCCAGCCGCCGCGGUAAUACGUAGGUGGCAAGCGUUAUCCGGAAUUAUUGGGCGUAAAAGCGCGCGCCGGUGGUUUCUUAAGUUUGAUGUGAAAGCCCACGGCUCAACCGUGGAGGGUCAUUGGAAACUGGGAG